UGACAACAUAGCAUGUAUAUUCUCCUUGUGUUGAUAGAAUGACCACAUUGUGAUGCUGCAAUUUGUUGACAAGGGGCACUAUAUAUAAAGGCCAACAUAUGCUAAUGUAUUCUCAUUAUUGUGAAUGAUCUAACAAUGGUGCACCCCAGAGGAGUGAACCUUGGAACACAGGUGCAUUUUGGUCCCCAUCUUAAUUGCUGGACCAAAUAUAUUUGUGUUCUCAGGUCACCCCUUUGGGUUCACCUUGUUUUUUUCUUUGUUUAAUAGAAGUUUAUUCACUUUCAAUCUUUUCUUGUUUUAAUUGAAUUCCUUUAUCAUUAUUCUUUAUAUAGCUUGUGACUUGUGAGAUGAUUUCCAUUCUUUUUAUAACAUCGUCUUCGAAUUGUACUCAAUCAAGAAUUACUCUAAGAGCUGGAUUCCGUCAACUCCAGCACCAUCAAGAAGUUGAUGAUAUUUUUUAUAUUUCCAACAACCGUUCAACUGAGUACUUCUCUUUGAAUUUUCAAAAAAUUCCAACAGUGUCUUUCAUUAAAUAUAUGUAGUUGUUUUCAUCUUUUUGUUCAUUUGAGAAUGAUAUACUAUCGCAAUAAAUUUAAAAUAUCUUUUUGUUCUUAAUAGAGCAAUCAAUGUUUGAUUUAUCCCUAUAGAUCUUGAUUUAUUAGUUAUUUCGAAGGUGUGACUAGAGAGACUUUAAUUGGUGGAGCGAUUUUUGAGCGAUUUUUGGUUUUCAUCCGAUCUCUGGCCUUCACUUUAGGCUUAACUAAUCCGAAUUUGGAUCGAAAAAUUAAAAAUGACUUAAUUUUCAAUACUCGAAUCCGUAA